rnacentral:rRNA from 1 species
UCCAGACUCCUACGGGAGGCAGCAGUGGGGAAUAUUGGGCAAUGGAGGCAACUCUGACCCAGCAACGCCGCGUGAAUGAUGAAGGUCUUCGGAUUGUAAAGUUCUUUUCUAAGGGAAGAAGAAAGUGACGGUACCUUAGGAAUAAGCCACGGCUAACUACGUGCCAGCAGCCGCGGUAAUACGUAGGUGGCAAGCGUUGUCCGGAAUUACUGGGUGUAAAGGGAGCGCAGGCGGGAAGCCAAGUCAGCUGUGAAAACUACGGGCUUAACUUGUAGACUGCAGUUGAAACUGGUUUUCUUGAGUGAAGUAGAGGUUGGCGGAAUUCCGAGUGUAGCGGUGAAAUGCGUAGAUAUUCGGAGGAACACCGGUGGCGAAGGCGGCCAACUGGGCUUUAACUGACGCUGAGGCUCGAAAGUGUGGGGAGCAAACAGGAUUAGAUACCCUCGUA